UACGGAGGGUGCAAGCGUUUGUCCGGAAUCACUGGGCGUAAAGGGCGCGUAGGCGGCUCAUGAAGGCUGUGGUGAAAUCCCGGGGCUCAACCCCGGAACUGCCCUUGAAACUGGAUGGCUAGAAUCCUGGAGAGGCGAGUGGAAUUCCGAGUGUAGAGGUGAAAUUCGUAGAUAUUCGGAAGAACACCAGUGGCGAAGGCGACUCGCUGGACAGGUAUUGACG
rnacentral:rRNA from 1 species